rnacentral:lncRNA from 1 species
CAAUAAUCAACAAUAACGGCUACAAGUAUAUCAAGUAUAUUAAGGAACAUGCCGUAAGUAGGGAAUAGCCUUAACAUACCUUUUUUCCGCUAAAUUCACGUGGCCUAACGACUUUUACUCAUAACUCCCUCAAUACUACAACAAGGUAGGACCAUAAUCAACACACAAAAGAAAAGAUACCAUGACAAUACGAUAAAAGAUAUGUAUUUCCGUCGCAAAUUGCUAUUUGCUGCUUAUAAAAGCUAGAGUCGAUGAAAGGAGGGUCUUACCUCGAUCUUAGGUUCGUAAUACGCCUCAAAACCUUCAAAUAUCAUCAAACCCUUGCUGUCCCAACACUAAAGUGUGAUAUGCUACGCAAUCGAUAAAACAAAUUAUACCACGAUGAUGAGCCCAACGCGUAGAACAACUUUCGUCAAGGACUUAAGUCGAGAAAAUCUAUACUUAACUUGAUCCUAGAAAUGGGUUUCUCUAAUUUCUCUG